rnacentral:rRNA from 1 species
UACGUAGGGGGCAAGCGUUGUCCGGAAUCAUUGGGCGUAAAGCGCGUGUAGGCGGCUCGAUAAGUCUGCUGUGAAAGUCCAGGGCUCAACCCUGGGAUGCCGGUGGAUACUGUCGAGCUCGAGUCCGGAAGAGGAGUGUGGAAUUCCUGGUGUAGCGGUGAAAUGCGCAGAUAUCGGGAGGAACACCGGUGGCGAAGGCGGUUCUCUGGGCCUGUUCUGACGCUGAGGAGCGAAAGCGUGGGGAGCAAACAGG